UUACUAAAUUGGCGGUUAUCUAUUUUUUUGAUCAGUAAAAAUUGGUGGAAAACUAUUGAUAUUGGAGAAUCUCUGUGAUAUGAUGUUAGGUUAUUAUACUAUAUCUAAUGCGUCCAUAAGACAUUAUAAAAGAAAAAAAAUCUAAUGCGUCCGGAAGGGUUUGUGGACGAAUUAUCACCUUGUUCCUUUAUGGCUUUACU
rnacentral:lncRNA from 1 species